rnacentral:lncRNA from 1 species
GGAGGGGCCGGGAGGGCCGGGUGGUCAUGGAAGCGUUUCUCCGGUACACGAGGGGACGGGGGAGGUGACCUCAGCCGCGGCGUAAGCAGCGCAUCUCUUCCUGCGCCGUGCGGGGCUCCCAGCCCCGUCCUCCUUAGGCAGAGUCGCUGUUGGUACGCGUGGAGAAAGUGCGCGGCUCAACUUCAACACUCGCUCUUCUCAUUCUCACUUCGGACGCCGUGUUUCGCUUAAAAAUGUCUUCUGUAACUUCCAGGUCUGCGCCGAGGCAGUGCUGACAGCAGCCGCCGGCUGUAUUGUAGUGGUCACGGAGUUUGGAGGGUGUCGUGUGCUCCCUGUGCUGCACAUGCACUCUGCUAUACAAUCAUCUUUAAGUUUGAGUAACAAGUAUUUAACCUCAAAUGAAGCUUCCUGCAUGCAGCGGAACAGAUAUAGUUGA